rnacentral:lncRNA from 1 species
AUAGUGUCUCUUCAACUUCCUUUAAAUUCACCGUUAAGAUCCCUCAGCAAUCAUCGAAGAAGGGUAAGAUUACCUCCGCUAACGAGUCAGUGCAUCAUAAUGGAGCUAUAGAGAUUGUAACGGGUCUUGCCUCAUCCACCCUGCGAAAGAACAAAACUACUAGCAGUCCCUCGAAAAAUAUUGCUACAAAAAAUAAGUCUUCCAAGGACUCUCGGCAGGCCAUCAAAGAGGCGCAACCAGCGGUUCCA